UACGUAGGGGGCUAGCGUUGUCCGGAAUCAUUGGGCGUAAAGAGCGCGUAGGCGGCUAGAUAAGUCCGGUGUGAAAGUCACAGGCUCAACCUGUGAAUGCCGCUGGAAACUGUCUGGCUAGAGUCCGGAAGGGGCGAGUGGAAUUCCUGGUGUAGCGGUGAAAUGCGCAGAUAUCAGGAGGAACACCGGUGGCGAAGGCGGCAUCCUGGACCGACAUUGACGCUGAACGGCGAAAGCUAGGGGAGCAAACGGG
rnacentral:rRNA from 1 species